UACGUAGGGUGCAAGCGUUGUCCGGAAUUAUUGGGCGUAAAGAGCUCGUAGGCGGUUUGUCGCGUCUGCUGUGAAAACCCGAGGCUUAACCUCGGGCCUGCAGUGGGUACGGGCAGACUAGAGUGCGGUAGGGGAGAUUGGAAUUCCUGGUGUAGCGGUGGAAUGCGCAGAUAUCAGGAGGAACACCAAUGGCGAAGGCAGAUCUCUGGGCCGUAACUGACGCUGAGGAGCGAAAGCAUGGGGAGCGAACAGG
rnacentral:rRNA from 1 species